UCCCUGCCAAGGAUUGGGUGGUGCGUCGACCCCGAAGCGUGAAGUGUUGUUGAGAAAAGAACCCCGUAAACUCUCUGUGAUUAGAGCUGCUGCUGCUAAGUCGCUUCAGUCGUGUCCGACUCUGUGCGAGCCCAGAGACGGCAGCCCACCAGGCUCCCCCGUCCCUGGGAUUCUCCAGGCAAGAACCCUGGAGUGGGUUGCCAUUUCCUUCUCCAAUGCAUGAAAGUGAAAAGAGAAAGUGAAGUUGCUCAGUCGUCUUCGACUCUUAGCGACCCCAUGGACUGCAGCCCACCAGGCUCCUCCGUCCAUGGGAUUCUCCGGGCAAGAGUACUGGAGUGGGGUGCCGUUGCCUUCUCCAGCGAUUAGAGCUAGAUACUCCUAAAUUCUCUUUAUUCACCUGAGACUUGUUCAGACUCCUGUCUUAUCCCAGGUUUUUUCUAUGACUCCGGACGCAAAGGUAAAAAGAAAGUAGUCCUGGUCAUUAUAAACCUCACAGUCUAGCGGAGGAAAAGAGAUAUAAACAGCGUAAAUGCCAUUUGCAGUAAAACUUUGCAGGAAAUGUUCGGAGUGGAAGAUGGGUGUGAAGGGAAAUAUUCUGCUGGCAUCUGCUGCGUGCACCGUGCUAGGUGCGUUCUUUGUGUUCUCUUGUCUGCUGCUCUUGGAGGUGGCAGUAUUGAAACCCCAUCUCCAGGACAUGGCCCCCAGGGUUAUCACACCCGUCAGCGUCAAGCCAGUGGAAGGAGAACCAAGGAAUGAGGAAAGCGCAUUCCUGCCGAUCACAUCAGUCGAACCCCUGAAUUGCCCUGCCCACUCAAGAGCAGGAAUAUAGAGAGAAGAAAUCGAGUGUUGCAAUUUCUCCUUCUGAAUCUUAAAUAGCUUCCGUACUGCUUCCAGGUUGUGAUAUAAACCAGAGGAUGCUGUCACUGUGCUGUGGCCCCAUUUACCUUUCUAGAGUUAGAAGGCAAAGGUUGUAUCUGACGGGUCUACCAGCCCUUUCUUGGUUUUCCAUCUCUUAUCCCAUAAAUACAUGGUCUAGUAAGGUCCAGUGUCUUUGUGAGUGUCUCACAAUUCAUCUGUGGCAUUUUUAUUAGGUAUGGACAUUCCCAAAGGAACUGAGAAGUGGCAUUAUCAAUGCUUUCCAAAAUAUACACUGGUAGGUAGAUAAUUUUGGCUUCCCUGGUGGCUCAGAUGGUAAAGAAUCCACCUGCAAUGUGUGAGACCCAGGUUCAGUCCCUGGGUCAGGAAGAUCCCCUGGAGAAGGGAAUGGCAAGCCCCUCCAGUAUUCUUGCCUGGAGAAUCCCAUGGGGUUGCAAAGAGUUGGACAUGACUGAGUGACUUUCACUUUCACUUCAGGUAAGUAAUUUAGAUGAAAUCUUCGGUAGUUAAGAGUUUUUCAAGAGCAGUGCUGGGCAAUAAAUUUAAAUCAGGAUUCUUGGUAUAACUAGGG
rnacentral:lncRNA from 1 species